rnacentral:rRNA from 1 species
UACAGAGGUGGCAAGCGUUGUUCGGAAUUACUGGGCGUAAAGCGUGCGUAGGCGGUCUUUUAAGUCCGAUGUGAAAGCCCUGGGCUCAACCUGGGAAUGGCACUGGAUACUGGAAGGCUAGAGUACGGUAGAGGAGGGUGGAAUUUCCCGGUGUAGCGGUGAAAUGCGUAGAGAUCGGGAGGAACAUCAGUGGCGAAGGCGGCCCUCUGGACCAGUACUGACGCUGAGGCACGGAAAAGCGUGGGGAGCAAACAGGG